GAUUAAGUGUCGUAAGGGCAUUUGGUGGAUGCCUUGGCAUGCACAGGCGAUGAAGGACGUGAUACGCUGCGAAAAGCCGUGGGGAGCUGCGAAUGAGCUUUGAUCCAUGGAUCUCCGAAUGGGGCAACCCACCUUAAAUGCUUGGGAAUCUGGCGCCGUCGGCGCCGCGAAUAGGAUUUAGCGAAUAGCGAAUAGGGUUCAAAAACUAUUCGCUACUCGCUAUUGGCUAUUCGCUAGCGUCGCAAGGCGACGCCAGGUUCCAAGCAUUGUGAUAAGGUAUCUACACCUGAAUACAUAGGGUGUAAGAAGCGAACGCAGGGAACUGAAACAUCUAAGUACCUGCAGGAAAGGACAUCAACCGAGACUCCGCAAGUAGUGGCGAGCGAACGCGGACCAGGCCAGUGGCAAUUUUGAUUAAAGUGGAACGCUCUGGAAAGUGCGGCCGUAGUGGGUGACAGCCCCGUACGCGUAGAUAUCAAGAUUGUCCUAGAGUAGGGCGGGACACGAGAAAUCCUGUCUGAACAUGGGGAGACCACUCUCCAAGCCUAAGUACUCGUGCAUGACCGAUAGCGAACAAGUACCGUGAGGGAAAGGUGAAAAGCACCCCGACAAGGGGAGUGAAAUAGAACCUGAAACCGGAUGCCUACAAACAGUCGGAGCCUGAAAGGGUGACGGCGUACCUUUUGUAUAAUGGGUCAACGACUUAGUGUAACAAGCAAGCUUAAGCCGGUAGGUGUAGGCGAAGCGAAAGCGAGUCUGAAUAGGGCGAUAUAGUUUGUUGCAUUAGACCCGAAACCGAGUGAUCUAGCCAUGAGCAGGUUGAAGGUUGGGUAACACCAACUGGAGGACCGAACCCGCAUCUGUUGCAAUAGAUUGGGAUGACUUGUGGCUAGGGGUGAAAGGCCAAUCAAACUCGGAAAUAGCUGGUUCUCCGCGAAAUCUAUUUAGGUAGAGCGUCGAGCGAAUACCCCCGGGGGUAGAGCACUGGAUGGGCUAUGGGGACUCACCGUCUUACUGAUCCUAACCAAACUCCGAAUACCGGGGAGUACUACUCGGCAGACACACGGCGGGUGCUAACGUCCGUCGUGAAAAGGGCAACAACCCUAACCUCCAGCUAAGGUCCCCAAGUCAUGGCUAAGUGGGAAAGGAUGUGAGGAUCCCAAAACAACCAGGAUGUUGGCUUAGAAGCAGCCAUCAUUUAAAGAAAGCGUAACAGCUCACUGGUCUAAAUAAGGGUCUUUGCGCCGAAAAUGUAACGGGGCUGAAGCCAUGCACCGAAGCUGAGGAUGUGUAGCAAUACACGUGGUAGCGGAGCGUUCCGUAAGCUGAUGAAGGGAGACCCGUGAGGGCUCCUGGAGGUAUCGGAAGUGCGAAUGUUGACAUGAGUAACGAUAAAGAGGGUGAGAGACCCUCUCGCCGAAAGACCAAGGGUUCCUGCUUAAAGUUAAUCUGAGCAGGGUUAGCCGGCCCCUAAGGCGAGGCAGAAAUGCGUAGUCGAUGGGAACCACGUUAAUAUUCGUGGGCCUGGUGGUAGUGACGGAUUGCACAAGUUGUUCUGGUUUAUUGGAUUAUCAGGGCAGCGGAGCGGUUCCAGGAAAUAGCUCCACCGUAUAGACCGUACCCGAAACCGACACAGGUGGUCAGGUAGAGUAUACCAAGGCGCUUGAGAGAACUAUGUUGAAGGAACUCGGCAAAUUGCACGCGUAACUUCGGAAGAAGCGUGACCCCAAUUUACGCAAGUAUUUUGGGGUGGCACAGACCAGGGGGUAGCGACUGUUUAUCAAAAACACAGGGCUCUGCGAAGUCGCAAGACGACGUAUAGGGUCUGACGCCUGCCCGGUGCUGGAAGGUUAAGAGGAGAGGUGCAAGCUUUGAAUCGAAGCCCCAGUAAACGGCGGCCGUAACUAUAACGGUCCUAAGGUAGCGAAAUUCCUUGUCGGGUAAGUUCCGACCUGCACGAAUGGCGUAACGACUUCCCCGCUGUCUCCAACAUAGACUCAGUGAAAUUGAAUUCCCCGUGAAGAUGCGGGGUUCCUGCGGUCAGACGGAAAGACCCCGUGCACCUUUACUAUAGCUUUACACUGGCAUUCGUGUCGGCAUGUGUAGGAUAGGUGGUAGGCUUUGAAGCGGGGACGCCAGUUUCCGUGGAGCCAUCCUUGAAAUACCACCCUUAUCGUCAUGGAUGUCUAACCGCGGCCCGUCAUCCGGGUCCGGGACAGUGUAUGGUGGGUAGUUUGACUGGGGCGGUCGCCUCCGAAAGAGUAACGGAGGCGCGCGAUGGUGGGCUCAGACCGGUCGGAAAUCGGUCGUCGAGUGCAA
rnacentral:rRNA from 2 species